GGGAAAAUAAUGCUGAGACAGUCUGAACUUUUUGUUAGAGUUCAUGAAUUUUUAGGAGUCAUCGAGGCUUUAAUGUUGCUUUGAUAUGGAGAACGGAAGGAAGCAUGGGGAGUUUCCUGUUUAUUCUGCUCAGCUUCCGUUCCAUGAAGAGGUUUCUGCUUUGGGGACCUUCUCCCACCACAGCUUGCAGUUCUGUUUUAGUCAGCUUCUGAAUGUCGAUAACUAAAGAUGUUUACUGUCCUUCCGUGGAAUGAAAAGAAAAGAAUAGAACAGAAGAAGGAAUUCUUCUGUUUAUUUCUCAGAUCUGUGGGGCAAAGAUCUUUGUGUUGUGUUCUCGAGGUCUGUGUAUCCAUGCUUGGUGCCCAUGAAGAACAGAAGAAGGUAUCAGAUCCUCGGAAAUGGAGUUACAAGUUGUUGUGAGCUGGCAUGUGUGUGCUCUGAAUGAAAUCUAGAUAGAUCAUCGGCUCCAGGAGUGAAAAUUUCAAAGAAUAAAUAAACUUUUUAAAGUCAAGUUUAAGUAAAAAAAA
rnacentral:lncRNA from 1 species